CCUGCCUCCCGGCCCACCAGUCGGGGCCUCCCUCCUGGAGCUCCAGGGUCUCGCCGCAUGGUGGAGCCGCCGCGCCUGGCUCACGGUCCCGCGCGCGCUCCUGGGCCCGCACGCCUGAGUCACCUUUGUCUCCCGCUGGGAUCAAGGAUGGAGUCUGUGGCCCCUAUCCCACUGGGCACUCCUUAGUUUCCUCGCCCUCUCUUAAAAAUCCGAGGAACUAAGGUGAGGAAGGAGGUGCGAGCGCCCCUUUAUUUUUAUUUUUCGUGCCACUGAGGAUCGAACCCAGGGUCUUCCCACAGAGCCACGUCCUCAGCCCGCUAAAGAAUUUUAAAUUUUGAGACUGGGUCCGCCCCGUGGCCCACACUGAGCUCGAACUUUCGAUCCUCCCGCCUCAGCUUCCGAGGGAGCUAGGAUUGCAGGCGUGUGCCACCGCGCAGGGCUGAGCCCCCAGGCCCCCUCAGUCAGACUCUUGGAGUCCGCCGUCCUGGCCCCAUCUAGGGCUCAGUUCUUUGAUCCUUUGAAGGAUGUCUUGACUUUCUUGGAAAAAACAGUCUGCAUCGAAAGGCAGAGGCUCAAUUCGGUGCUCAUAGACAAAGAGGGUCAAGACGGAAACGAAUCAAACAGUAUUGGGAAAAGGCAACCGCCUCUGAAGUCUCGCAGGGUGAGAAACUGACUCGAUCGUCGUUAUCGUUAAAUCCUAGGAAACAGUUGGCAGCUCUCAAGUCAGAUGACGUCUGAUGACCUUACCCAUAUCCCGUGAGGCCAUGCACUUGGCCAGUUCUGAGAUAGAGUCCUGCUAAGUUGCACUUGCUGAGCUGGAACUUGUUAGCCUCCUGCCUCAGCCUCCCAGAGUGCUAGGAAUAUGGGUAUUCGCCAGCAGGCCUGGCCCCAGUUCUCAUUACAAGCUUGCAUAUUUGCAUAAACGAAGAUUCCCUUUGCAAGUUCAGUGCCUUAAAAUUAAAAAAAAUUUUUUUUUUGAGGAUUAGGUUCUAAUCGGAUACAAGAAACCUGGAAAAACCGUUUAGUGAAAAUGGCACAUAGCCUGUCCUUCAGUUACAAAUCCCAUUUUUUCUGGUGGCGGGGAUGGUGGGCCGUGUGUGUUGAGAGAGGAGAGUGCAAGUUCGUGCAGCUGGGACUUCUCCCUUAUAUCCAGACCAUGUCUUGAAAUCGGAACAAAUGAGGGCAUUUACCAACCAGACAGUCCCGGAGCUCAUUAUGGCAGGAUACUAACCAUUGCAACAACGACAGGACGCCUCCACCUGCUGUCAGAUCCAGGUCUAGCCCCAAGCUUCUCCCCUUUGUCAGCUUGAAGCAGCUCCAGAAGAAGAGACCUUCGCCCAACAACCAUUAAAACAAAAGCCUGGAAUGAUAGAUUUCCCUCACCUUAAAAUGGCCACUACAUAUAAUAGCUGCCUUCUCCUUCCCAUAAUGCCCUGCUUCCCACCUAAACCCAGUCCCAAGAUGGCUCCUUUCCCACCCCAAUUGGCCUUCUCCUGC
ensembl:lncRNA